AUAUACUCACUCUCAAGACAACAUAAUGAAGAGUUGAACAGAUUGAUGAACAAGUAGAAACCAAAAAUAAUGCGAAAAUCAUUAUAAUCAUGCUUAUACAUGUAUAGAUCUAUAAUAACAAAAACAAUAAAUAACGAGAAAAUAAACUUACCAGAGAGGGUGAAGACGAAGAAUCAACAGAAUCUGUGUUCUUGAGUUCAACAGACACAACCAACGACGAGAUAGCAAGGAAAGAACGGCGACGGCUGCUGCUCGGUUGGGGUUUGUGAGAGAAGAGUUCAAACUUGAUGACAAACUGAUGUUACACAAUGUGCAGCAUAGAAGAUUUAUGACGUGCAGCGGAUUUGAAGGAUUUUUGAGUGAGAAAGAGGAAGGGAAAUCGUUUUAGGGUUUUGAGUGAGAAAGAUUUCGCGUAUGAGAGAAUGAGAAGGAA
rnacentral:lncRNA from 1 species